rnacentral:tRNA from 1 species
GCCUUCGUGGUGUAGUGGUCAGCACAGUGAGUCGGUAUUUCAGAGGUCCGUGGUUCGAUUCCCGGCGAAGGCG